rnacentral:rRNA from 1 species
AAGUUUGAUAUUUAUAUUUAGUUUUUAAAAAAAAUAUUUUUAUAGUUAGUAUACUUAAGAAUUUAGGUUUGUUAUUAUAGUUUAAAGUAUAGUGAUAGGAUAUUGAAAUAUAUUGAAAUUUAACUUUGUUAAAGAAGGAUUAAUUUUUCGUACCUUGUGUAUCAGGGUUUAUUAAAAUUAUGUAAUUAGUUAUUGUUCUCGAAUUAAAAAGAGUUAAUAUUAUAUAUAUAUAAUUGUGUCAUAAAUUUUUAUAAUAUAGUAUUAGAAAUGAAACGUUAUUCGUUUUUUAUGAUAUCUGGUUUUUUAAGAAAUGGAUUUAAUCUAGUUUAUAGUUUUACUUAGUUUCAUUAUUAAUUAAGUGUUAAUAUAAAGUAAUACUUUAAGGGAUAAGCUUUAAAGUAUAUUAUUAAAACUAUAUUUUAUUAGUAUGAAUAAUUGUAGGAUUGGAAAUUUUUAUCUUUAGUAUGUUAUAAUUAAUUUUCAUUAUAAUAAGAUUUGUAUUUAGUUUAAGUUUUUUAUUAAAAUAAUAUAUUUAAUUUGGUAUUAUAUGUAAUAAUGAUAGAAUUAGUAUAAUUUAAUGUAUUAAUACAUUAUGAAUUUAAGGUUAAGUUAAGGAACUCGGCAAAUCUAUUUUUCGCCUGUUUAUUAAAAACAUGUCUUUUUGAUUAUAAUUUAAAGUCUGGCCUGCCCAAUGAGUAUUUGAAUGGCCGCGGUAUUUUGACCGUGCAAAGGUAGCAUAAUCAUUAGUUUUUUAAUUGAAAGCUGGAAUGAAUGGUCGGACGAGAAAAUGACUGUCUCAAUUUAAUUUUAAUUAGAACUUUAUUUUUAAGUAAAAAAGCUUAAAUGAUUUUAAAAGACGAGAAGACCCUAUAGAGUUUUAUAUUUAUUAGUAUAUUAAUAAUUAAGAAUGUUUUGAGUUUCUAUAUUAAUAAUUAUUUUGUUGGGGUGACAGGAAAAUUAAAUAAACUUUUUUUUUAUAUUAACAUUGAUUUAUGAGUAUUUGAUCCGUUGUUUACGAUUAAAAGAUUAAAUUACCUUAGGGAUAACAGCGUAAUUCUUUUUGAGAGUUCAUAUCGAAAAAAGAGUUUGCGACCUCGAUGUUGGAUUAAAAUUAACUUUUGGUGCAGAAGCUAGAAGGUUAGGUCUGUUCGACCUUUAAAAUUUUACAUGAUCUGAGUUUAAACCGGCGUGAGCCAGGUUGGUUUCUAUCUUUAAAAAUAGUUUGAUAUCUUAGUACGAAAGGACCAGAUAUUGAUAAAAUUUAUUUUAGUUUUGAUUAUUA